rnacentral:tRNA from 1 species
GGCUAAGUAGCUCAGUGGAUUGAGAGCCAAGCCUAGAGGUGGGAAGUGGUAGGUUCGAAUCCAGCCUCAGCCA